rnacentral:tRNA from 3 species
GGGCGAUUAGCUCAGCUGGUAGAGCGGCUCGUUUACACCGAGUAGGUCGGCGGUUCGAACCCGUCAUCGCCCACCA